AUCCGCUUAUCUCGCACGGCGGCCGAUUCUUCCCGAUACGUCUUGAAAGGAAGAAAAAAAAUCUAGGCACCGCCCUCUCUUCCCCUCUUCCUUCACUCUGCCCCUUCCUUAGAUUGAGCUCCACAUGGAGGAUGUAUGUUAGUUGGUUCACCCAUCACUCCGCCCCGAUGAGCGCCUACACCUCCUGGCCGCCGCACGCCUCCACACCCGCACGACGCCGCGCCUCCACCUCCUGGCGGCCAUGUGCCUCCACACCCGCACGGCGCCGCGCCUCCACGUCCUGGCGGCCAUGUGCCUGCACACCCGGACGUCGGCACGCCUUCAAGUCCCAGCCGUCACGCGCCUCCACGCCUUGACGCCGACGCGUCGACCGACGUCCCCACAGCAUGCCAUCCUAUAUUGUUGCUCCCGUACCUCCACACUGAUGCUACUUGAGCAACCAAUUCAAGUAUCCACGCUGAAUUUUACACCAUGACUCCACACAAAAAGGGAAGGGAUCGGUGAUGCAGCAGCUCCGAGAUGCUGCUCGGUAUCGGAGCAUCACAUCAGGGAAGCAAAUGCACGCUAAGUUACGACUGUAGGCUUCUAAAUCUUAGCUUCUGUUCACCUCAAAAUGCAUCUCGGUUGUGCUGAUAUUUGUCGUCUUUGUAGCAUGCCCAACAUGUGUUUGUGUUAAUGCCUGAAUGAAAAACUAUGGCCUACAUAUGGCUCACUCCAUAAGAAGUUGAAUCCCACAAAUUCGACUGUUAAGUGCAAUCUUGACGGUCAUUGUUCAUUUUGAUUUUCUAUGAAAACUAUACCAAUCCUUUUUAUUGCUUCACAUAUACCACGUUCUAUAUACUUACGUAUUUACACUGAGAGUUCAUCCAUUUAUGUGUCAAAGAUUCACUUUGAUCUAGCACACUAUGAUUAGUUAUUGUACGAGGAAAUGACGAGUUGCUACAUCGAUAGAUUUAUUUUCUCAUCAGCAUGCUACUCUGAGCCAAGCAAUCUUACUUCUUAUGAACUUUAAUCAUCUUUUGUUGCAAGCCAAGCAAUCUAGAUUAAGCCAGUGAUUUGCAUCAUGUCUUUCAUGAGUCUGUAAUAUCGAAAGUUGCCUCGGUUUGUUAGGUACUUUCACAUCACACGUCUAAUCUGAAUUUGACCAAGUCUGUGCUAUAUGAAAAAUAUCCCACCUCAUGCAAUGGAUAUCUGUUUUGAUUUGCUUUCUUGGUGAUCACACACAUGCAGGUGGAGCGAGAUGUAUGUGCUUCGGAGCGCUUUGUGGAUUGUAUUUUUUCCUUACAAAGUGAGUUGCCUCAAGUGAGAUGCAUUUUUCCAGAUUGUUUGUUGCAUUGCUGAAAAUCUCGGGUACAGGGGAGUGGUUGGUUCAUUGUUUCAAGGAACCUGUUACAUUCCCUUUGUUGAAAAUUUCAGUGUAUGCGCUUACAAGUUUACGUACUUCACAGAGUGUAUUAGUUAAAGGCAAUGCUAAGCAGGACAAGGUACUUUUUUAUCUCCUUCCAUGGAGUAUCCAUUACUAUUAGCAGAUGCAAAUGAUCAAGUUGAUGUGUUCUUUCGCAUGUAUGCGCCAUCUCACUAGAGGUGUGUCUUAUUGUCAUUAUAAUUUGAAAAGAUGCAUAAAUGUAGUAUAUUAUGAAGGCAGUUUAGUCAUAAGAAAAUAUGUGGAAAUGUAGUGUCUUGCAUUUAAAAUGUGUGGAAACCAACACAUCGGCUUUGAAUUUAAAAUGAUGAAAUGAUACUUAUUAGAAUUCAGUGUGGUAUGAGUCACAUAUUUAAGAAAUAUUAGAAAAAAUGCUCAGCGCCGUUGGUGAAUCUCAUAGUAUGAGCCUAUUCAACCAUUUCUGCAAAUGAAACACAUUGUUCUUGACUAUGAUUUUCUGUCCAAGGGAAAUUGCUGAAGUCAUCAAAAAAAAAUACAGCAUCAAGCUGCCAACCACCCCACAAACCUUGAAGCUCAUGAGGCGGCAUGAAUAUGGCUGACAAACUUAUAGUGGUUGUCGAAUUGUACCAACCACAUCUUAUGUUGCCACCAGAACAAUAUUAAUGUGACUAUGUAGAAAUGGAGAAGGGUCAAAGGUAUUCGAUAUCAUACAUUCACGACUACUACUCCUUCUGUACCAUGUCCCCUCCUUAUGUUUCCAGCAAAGAAAAGAUGCUCGAAACAUUGCAGUUUCUUGGUUAUUAGGCGACCCACCACCGCCAGAGAACGGAGACUUAGACUGGAACCAACCAUCUGCAAAAAGAGUAACAGAGCAAAGCAGAGAAGAAAAUGGAGGGGGGGGGUACUAGCUAACUACUUUAAAAGGAAAGACAAACUUCUCUAAAGAGGCCUUUGGUCCUUAGGCACAACCUAUAUUUUUUACACGAAGAUAACAAUUGGAAUGGAUCAUGAAAUCUUCAUGUCAAAACUUCCUAAUUUAUAUGUUUUACUUAUAUUUAAUUAAGAAAAUACCAAGUUAAGCACGGCAUUGUUUUCGACCAGCUGUUUGUCAGUUCAUGUGGAGUCUGUAGCUUAUUGCAAAGGUCAAGCUAACAAAAUGGUCAGAUGAUCAACAUCUGCUGCUCUGAGAUGGCACAUCUUCAAGCAUUGGUCUCUGCUAUCUAUAGGAAGGUAGAGCUUCAAUUGGUGUUGUGUAUUUUUAGGUAGCACAGAGCAGAGUCUGUAGCUUAUUGCAAAGGUCAAGCUAACAAAAUGGUCAGAUGAUCAACAUCUGCUGCUGUGAGAUGGCACAUCUUCAAGCAUUGGUCUCUGCUAUCUAUAGGAAGGUAGAGCUUCAAUUGGUGUUGUGUAUUUUUAGGUAGCACGGAGCAGCUUUUGAAACUUAUGUUUUACGAUACUGAAUAGUAUCAUUCCGCAUGCAUCAGUGAUCGAGGAUGGGACUUCUUGGUAUCUUUGCACCCAGCUUGACCUCAAACCUACUGCACCCUACUCAUUUGAAAAUAAAUAAUGACAAACACGCAUGCACAUGCUUAACCACGGGCGCGUGCGCCGCGCCUUCCUCCUGCUAGUACUAAUAAUGAUUACUCGUACUGGUUCUCGGCCACGGGCGAAAUUAAUCAAUGGAAUGCUAGUUUAAUAGGAAACCGUUCAUGCAAGUAACUACUUCCUCCUUUCUGGUUUAUACCAUCACAGUACAAAUAGUUUCCUUCUUUUACUUUUUUACCUAUUGGGAUUUACAGCACGUUGAGAAUUACAAGCGUGAGAUGCGCAUGCAACCAUGCGUGCAUGCAGCUACACUGUCACCGAGCUACACAACACGUUGAGAAUUACCAACUUGCGGUCGUAAUCAAUGAUGGUUAUCAGCAGCAUGGGCGUACAUGUGAUGAGAAAGCAGCUUUGCAGGGUACUUGAUUUGUGGGCGAGAGAAGGCCACACAACGACCGGCCACAUCAAAUCCGGCAGUGAAUAUGGACAAAAGUAGCCAAAUGAUUGAGAAAGAGCAUUUAUUGCCAAUCUAACUUUCUCAUCCAAACACCUCUUGGGUUAGAGUUAGUUCAAGGUUAGUUGAGGGUUAGAAUCUAACUCUAACCUCUAACCCGGUUAGAGUAUCCAAACAGGGCCAAUGGCUAAAGGAGUACUGCGACGUAGUUCAUUUU